ACAUGCAGUCGACGGUAACAGGAAGCAGCUUGCUGCUUCGCUGACGAGUGGCGGACGGGUGAGUAAUGUCUGGGAAACUGCCCGAUGGAGGGGGAUAACUACUGGAAACGGUAGCUAAUACCGCAUAAUGUCGCAAGACCAAAGAGGGGGACCUUCGGGCCUCUUGCCAUCGGAUGUGCCCAGAUGGGAUUAGCUUGUUGGUGAGGUAACGGCUCACCAAGGCGACGAUCCCUAGCUGGUCUGAGAGGAUGACCAGCCACACUGGAACUGAAACACGGUCCAGACUCCUACGGGAGGCAGCAGUGGGGAAUAUUGCACAAUGGGCGCAAGCCUGAUGCAGCCAUGCCGCGUGUAUGAAGAAAGCCUUCCGGUUGUAAAGUACUUUCAGCGGGGAGGAAGGGGUUAAGGUUAAUAACCUUAGCCAUUGACGUUACCCGCAGAAGAAGCACCGGCUAACUCCGUGCCAGCAGCCGCGGUAAUACCGAGGGUGCAAGCGUUAAUCGGAAUUACUGGGCGUAAAGCGCACGCAGGCGGUCUGUCAAGUCGGAUGUGAAAUCCCCGGGCUCAACCUGGGAACUGCAUUCCAAACUGGCAGGCUUGAGUCUCGUAGAAGGGGGUAGAAUUCCAGGUGUAGCGGUGAAAUGCGUAGAGAUCUGGAGGAAUACCGGUGGC
rnacentral:rRNA from 1 species